CUUGUUGAAGGCAAGCUCGUCCCGACGGUAGAGAAGGACCCCUUCACCUUGGCUAUGGGAAAGCCCUACCAUCCGGGACGGGUAUUAGGUGCUGGGGGGAGCUUGCUAGGAUGGGAGAAGGUAAUGGGUCCCGAAUAUACCAAAUCUGGAAGAUCCCGAGCAAGUGUGAACUCGCCACAGAACUUCGAUGCCACAGUGGCAUCAAUUAAAGAACAAGUGUGCAAUGAGAUGCGCGAAGAGUUCAAUGCAUGGGCGAAGCAAAUGAAUUUGCCGACCUUGCCCUUUUCCUCGACAACACCGGCCGACUCAAGUAGCCACCCACGAAGAGAAGGAGAACAGGAGAUAAAUGCACGCGAGGAGAUUGGUACUCCUUCACAUGCGAACUCAAGGGGGCUUGAUACUCCAACACCUCAUCACUUUCCUAUUCUACAGGUGAUUUUAUACUUACUUGUAAUCCCCCAUAUUUUUUUUAAUAAUUGUAUUUUUUUUAUAUACCAAUAUUUUGAAAUAAUUUUAUACUCGUAUAAAUAUUUUCUUUUGGAAAGAUUUGACAAAAUAAAACCAAGAAAAAAAAAAUCUUUAAACCAUAUUUUUACUCCUAAUUAAGUAAACUUACCUUAUUUCUCCUUGUUUAUUUUUUAAAGUAAACCCCUCCCAAAAACCCUCCUAAAUAGCUUCCCCCUUAUUACUCCCUCAUUCACUGUUUCCCCUCAUUCACGAAACACACA